AAUAAUUAACCAGCGCUUUGCUCUUUGGGGAUUACAUAGCUAACCGUCCAUAAUCCACAUGUGGUUGUUCUCUCUGCAAGUAAGUUCCAGCACGAUUUUGGAAACUGAGUAGAUUUUCUCCAUGAGCUCCUUGCUUACUCCUGGCUGAGUUCCCACCCGCCCCCAAUCUUGUGUGUGUUUAUAAAAAUGUAGACAACUUAAUAUGAAGCCAUGUAUUAAGUUAGUAGGGAGGGAGCUGUGCACUCACAAUCCAGAUGCAUUAAAAAAGCUAAACACAGGAGACAUGUGGAUCCUCUAACCUGCAGUUCCUUCCCAACUCAGAAACUACUUCACUAAGAGGUAAGCAUUUUAAUUUAUCUCGUUGGUGGAGAAACAGAGUAAGCUGUCGUGUGGUUUUGUAAUCUUUAAUCGAUAUAAUUCUUAAACCAUGCCUUUGUAUGAACACCAAUAUUAACUUUCAUCCAACAGCCUUUCCUGACAGCUAAAAUAUUUGCUGUCACUGGUUCAGCUCUGAAUUCUCAGAUCAGCCACGGCUGAUCCCCAGUGCCUUGCCCCAGCCCCAGGACAGGCGCACCAGUAGAGCUGUGGCUGGCUGGUGAGGUAUCAACCACCCCAGGAGUCUGAAUCCUGGAGAUGAAUGGAGAAGUGGCAAGGUUAGAGCCCCAGAAGAAGGUUGGGAUAUAAAUACAAGGAAAUGCUUAAAAUGCAGUGGUGGAAAUCUGAAAACAUGGGUCUUGGGUUAUCACUGGGAAAAGUAAAGCAUAAUAAAUCCAGGCCAAAUUAAAAGUAAGGGAUUUCUAAAUUAAAAACAGUGCAUGUUACGAAAGGCCCGGGCAUGCACGUUUUUAAGGAAAAACAACAGUAUUAAGCAUUCCUGAUAUUUGUUGAGGCAGAAAAAAAUAUUUCAGGUCAAGGGAAGCCCAAAAGCAAAAGGGGCAAGACUGUAUCAGCAUCUUCCCAGCCUGUUAGGAAGGACGAGGGGGAUGGUGCUGUGGUAUUCUUCCUUGCUAAUGGUAGCUAUCAGUGGGAUAAAGUACAGGAACCGUGAAAGCAACUAUUUAAAAUGUAUGAAUCAAUGUGCUAUUAUACUCAGGGUCUUAGUAUGCUUUUUGUCACGAUAAUGAAAUACCUGAGGAGAUUAACUGAUAAAGAGAAAUGUGAAUUUUGGCUCAUGGCUCUCUAGCUGAUGAGGGAUCCUCACGCUACGGAAUUCUGAAGAGGGCAUCACAUGAAGGUGGUGUGGGGAAGACACCUACACCAUAAGCCAGAAAGCAAAGAGAAACAUGAGCAGGGUCCUCGUGAUCCCAUUCAGGGGCAUCACCCGGUGGUUCUCUUACAAAGUCACACACACCUCCCCUGGUCUCCACACCUCCCAGCAGCUCCACCCUGGGAACUAAGUUUUAGAAAUUCUGGCAGGAAAUCUGAUCCAAACCGUGAGACCUGGGUCACAAUUUCAGGCCGUUUUCAUCAUUUUUACUAGAAAGCCUAGACCUUUUAGCGAGGACCCUCCUCACAGCUAGCCAGUCUUCACACAUCCCUGCACAGUCCCUAAGCUACUGCCUGGCUAUAGGUUUCCUAUUGUAGAGAUUUCAUUAUAAUGGAAUCAAACCAUCUGUCAUAUCCUGAACUGCUUUGCCUUCCUUGUCACAAUGUCCUCAAGCCUCAACCACAGGUGGCGAGUAUCAGUAUGCCACGUUUUAUAUUGCCUUUAACCCUUCUAAGAAUGGCGUAGGCGUACGCACUGAAAGUGUGAAAAAUCAAAGAAUCGUCACAGGAACACGAUGAUAUAUACACGCCGGGCAUUGAAACAAUUCGGAUACAAGCCACACAAUCACGUGGAGGAAAAGGGAGCUUAUUCACAAGCAGUCUUUCGGUUUUCAGAUCAAGCAAAAUGAAAGGACGUGAAAAGAAUGCGUCUGGAGUAAAGAAUACGUGCGUGUCCCUGUGGCUGUCCCCAAGCAUAUGUGACAAGAGAUGCAGGGUUAGAGCAACUGUCUUGUUGGCUACCAGCAAACGAGCAAGCAGGAGCCAACGAAAUCAGACAGCCAGCAGGUGCGCUAGGAGUCCUCACCGCAGGGCUGAGACUCUGCCAAUCAACCUGUGCCUCCCAUUGCCAGCGACUAGGGCGUGGCUACAAUCCUUUCGCUGAAAAUGAGCGUUCGUAAGCGAUGAUAAAUAGCCUUAUAUGUGCGCAUCUGGAUGCCGGGUCCUAACACACGGGGAGGGUGUACCACCCAGAAAUAACUCCAAAGUGAAAAUAGAAGGCAGAGACGCAAAGUGAACUCAAAGCUUUGUUUAUCAACAGGAAAGGCGUGGCUGUGACGGGGAGAUGGCGUGCGUGAGGCUGAAUCGAGAUUCCCGAGCAGGCACGCCUGUGUCGGUAAAGGACACCUGACCGUGUUCUUGAAUUCCGCCACUGUAAUCACUUUCAUGGUCAUCUCUUGAUGGACGUCUAGGCUGGCUCCGUUCCCUGGCCAUCCUGAAUAUAUGCAGCAAUAAAGAAGGCUACAUGUUUAAUCAUAAACACUGAGCAAGCAUGGCGGCGGUGUGCUGAAUUAUGGUCCUUCAGAUAUCCGAGUCAUCUUAUUCUUAUUGAAAGAAUACCUGUCUUGCCCAGUAGCACUGGGGCAGAGUGACCUUGGCUGUCCCCACUGUGACUCCAGCAGCUAACACAUGUAUGUACCAGAUGAAUUUGCUGACUGAAGCGGCGAGGAGGAUUUCCGUGAAGUUUUCUUGCUUACAAAGCCUUCCGGUGAUACGUUUGGUCCCCAGCCAGUGGUGCUGUUCUGAAAGGCUGUGGAACCUUCGCUAGGAGGUCACAACAGGAAGCGAAUGAUUGUGGCAACUCCAGGCUGCUGCCUCAGAGACUUGUGAUUAACGUGGCCCUACCGUGGUAAGACCACAGACACCCAAACUGUGGCCUUCUCACAGACUCUAGACAAGAGAAUCCCAGCCAGGAUUCCUGACCCACAGAAACCGUAAGAAAAUAUGUGCUUGUUUUACUCCACUAAGUUGGGGGUAAUUUUUUACACAGCAGUAGAUAACCAACACAGCAACCAUUUGUCACCCUUGCCCCACACUGUGAAAUGUUUUGCCAUCUAUUCGAUAGCCCCAUCAGGACCCAGGAUUAUCCCUCACUCCACCUCUGGGCUGCAGGAGAUGCCUCUGGAUUCAUCUCUCCUGCCCCACUGUUGUUUUUAUGGCUCAAUCCCUCAAGUUGUCACAACUGGACUUUAGCAGCCGACUCCUAAUUCCUCUGCGUUCUGCCGUACUCGCCUCCAAUUCAUCUCUUCACACUGAAACCAGACACACGUCCUCCGCUCUGUCCAGGAGAGCAUCCCCACCUUGGGGAUGGGGUGGGGGGAGGCUCUUUUUUUUUCCCCCCGGAGCUGGGGACCGAACCCAGGGCCUUGCAGUUGCUAGGCAAGCGCUCUACCACUGAGUUAAAUCCCCAACCCCACAUCCCCACCUUUAACCUCCCUUCUGAAGCCCUCUGGGAGUACCCAGCUAGCCUCACAUUCCAGCCGCACCCCUCUGCCUGGUCCAGAAACCUCAAACUCCCUACUCAUGCUAAGCGUGCCAUGCUAGCAUUUUUCUGUGCAUCCUGGGCCCUGCCUACACUAAAACAUCCUUCUGUCCCUACAGGAGGAUGGUAACAAGUACCUCAUCUUUCCAGAGCCACCUGUGCCGUGAAUCCAUUAAUAAGUCAUGUCCUAGGUACUUAGCCACUGCUUCCCAGCGGCUGGCACCGCAGCUCUUCUGCUUAUGCAAGCUCUCUGCCUUUCCCCUCUCACCCAGCAGAAUCCUUCUGCAGGGAAGGCACAGAGAUCGGCUCAGUGCCUCCACCCGGCAUUGUACCCAAAGGUGUAUGGGGUGGGGGUACAAACAACAACACAAAGUUAUGCCAGCAUUUUCCUCAAAGUCACCCUCUAGCCAUUCUGCCACUUGGAACAGAAGCCUCUCCACUGUCCCCCAUCCUUCAAGCUACAGCUUAAAUGGCACUCCUUGGAGGUUGUUUCCAGCCCCCAAGAUAGCCAUGCUACCCUUUGGUAAGACAGAGUAUGGCGGUCAUUACAUGACAGUCUAGUGGCUAGAUUAUAUUCUAGCUCAUUUCAUUCCUAUUACUCAGCCUUGCUUAUUGUACUGGCUGGUUUUGUGUAUCAACUUGACACCAGCUGGAGUUGUCAUG
rnacentral:sRNA from 1 species